rnacentral:rRNA from 1 species
GUUUUUGUCUUGUCUUUCAAUGUCCGGCACUCGGAGUGAGCCAGUGAGGGGUACUUGGGGCGGCGGAGCCACCGUCGGCGGUUUGGGACGUGCCACCGGAGGAGGGAGGGGACGGGAGGCCAGUUGAAGGAGAAGCGCACUGCUGGAGGAGGGUCGUGGCGCGAGGCCGGCGGUAGGAGGGGCACGAGGCCGGAGGAAGGAGGGGGCGGAGGCCAUCGGAAGGAGGGGCGCGAGGCCGGCGGAAGGACCGGCGCGGGACCGGAGGAGGGAGGGGGCGGAGGCCAGAGGAAGGAGGGGUGCGAGGCCGGCGGAAGGAGGGAUUCUAAGCAGGUGGAAGGUGGGGGCUCUAGGGUCGCGGCCACGGGUUGGGCAAGCAGGCACUCGAUCCUCUGACCCUGAGGGAGGAGCGGCGCCGCAGUAACGACCGGCAGUCGCCGCCUUCGCCCCACCACCGGCCCUGGAACAGUACGAGCAGAGGCUGAUGACAGUUC